GGUGGCCAUUUGGGCAAACACCAAACUAGCUGCAGGAAUUCUUUUUUUCCAUACCCCAGUGGCACCGGGAAUACCAGUGAGACAGAACGAUUCACUUCCCCUGGAAAGGGGUGCUGAAGCCAGGGAGCCAAGUGGUAUGGGUCUGCGGGUCCCACCCCCACGGAGCCCAGCAAACUAAGAUCCACUGGCUUGAAAUUCUCACUGCCAGCACAGCAGCAGUCUGAGAUCGACCUGGGACGCUCGAGCUUGGUGUGGGGAGAGACGUCCGCCAUUGCUGAGGCUUGAGUAGGGUGGUUUUAUGCUCACAGUAUAAACAAAGCCUCUGGGAAGUUCGAACUGGGUGGAGCCCACUGCAGCUCAGCAAGGCUGCUGUGGCCAGACUGCCAGAUUUCCCUUCUCUGGACAGGGUAUCUCUGAAAAAAAGGCAGCAGCCCCAGUCAGGGGCUUACAGAUAAAACCCCCAUCUCCCUGGGACAGAGCACUUGGGGAAAGGGGCAGC
rnacentral:lncRNA from 1 species